rnacentral:rRNA from 1 species
UACGUAGGGGGCUAGCGUUGUCCGGAAUCAUUGGGCGUAAAGAGCGUGUAGGCGGUCCGGUAAGUCCGCUGUGAAAGUCGGGGGCUCAACCCUCGAAUGCCGGUGGAUACUGUCGGGCUAGAGUGCGGAAGAGGCGAGUGGAAUUCCCGGUGUAGCGGUGAAAUGCGCAGAUAUCGGGAGGAACACCUAUGGCGAAGGCAGCUCGCUGGGACGUUACUGACGCUGAGACGCGAAAGCGUGGGGAGCAAACAGG